AGCAGCCGCGGUAAUUCCAGCUCCAAUAGCGUAUAUUAAAGUUGUUGCAGUUAAAAAGCUCGUAGUUGAAUUUCGGGAUCAAUGUUUCGGUCAUGCCGUUGGUAUGUACUGAUAUUAUUGAUUUCUCACCUUCUAAAGAACCGUAAUGCCAUUAAUUUGGUGUUACGGGGAAUUAGGACUGUUACCUUGAAAAAAUUAGAGUGUUUAAAGCAGGCUCACGCUUGAAUACAUUAGCAUGGAAUAAUGAAAUAGGACAUCCGAUUCUAUUUUGUUGGUUUCUAGGAUCGAUGUAAUGAUUAAUAGGGAUAGUUGGGGGCAUUAGUAUUCAAUUGUCAGAGGUGAAAUUCUUGGAUUUAUUGAAGACUAACUACUGCGAAAGCAUUUGCCAAGGAUGUUUUCAUUAAUCAAGAACGAAAGUUAGGGAUCGAAGACGAUCAGAUACCGUCGUAGUCUUAACCAUAAACUAUAGCCGACUAGGGAUCGGGUGAUGUUAAUUUUUAAUGUACUCAUUCGGCGUCCU
rnacentral:rRNA from 1 species